ensembl:lncRNA
UGGGCGCCGACACUCUUAAUGAGUUUUUUACAAGACCAUUCUUUAAUGGGUGAACCCUGACAGGAAACACUAAAGAUGGUUUUUAACUAUUUUUAUAUCAAGACAUAUCUUUAUCAAACGUCCACUCAAUGCUAAAUGUCACUUCUCCAGCCUACCCAUUUAAGAAUACCUAAAAGUGAAGACUGGAAUGACGCUUUCAAACACAUACUCUACUCAUGCAUUCCCGGGAGCAGAGAGCAGCUUAAUGUUUUCACGAUAUGCAGGCAUGAAGUUUGGCGAAGGCAUUUUAAUAUUUUUACCUGAAUAUUUUAAUAAAAUCAAAAGAUCAUUUUCACUCUAAUACUCUACUUAGAAUGUAAUUUUCCAUUAAAUAAACAGUCAAUGUUCAGUAACCCACAUGCUGAUAAACUUUUGAAAAGUUUAGAAAGUAUUAAGUAUAAUCAAAGAUUACUUUUAAUUUUCGAGCUGGCAAGAGCCUGUGUCAGGGAACAGAGUUCAGAUUGAAGAGAUAAAAGCACGAUUAUUUUCUUAAAGAAAAGCGAAAUUCAUAAAAGAGACCAGGUGAUUCUAUAAAGCAACACAGAAUCCGUUUUCAGAAAAGGCAAACGUGGACCACAGAACACCAGUGUUGCCCGUGAUGAGAGAAACAGUUAAAAAGAAGAAUUCACGGUGGCCCAGCAUAGAUCAGGUGUGGGAGGACAGAGAGGUGAAGAAAUCAUCCUCCUUCUAACUUCCCAGAAAGGCACAAAUGGCCAGCACUGUAACUGAAGACCACGCAGGCACCAGUGUGAACUCAAACUCCAUGGCCAGCACCGUAACUGGAGACCACAUGGGCAAUGCUGUGAACUCAGACCCCACAGCCCACACCAUAACUGGAGACGACACGGGCACCAGUGUGAACUCAGACCCAACAGCACCUGCCUGGGCUGCUCCAGCCACUAGCAGAACCUGUUGUGCAGCUGAACUGGAAGCUGAUUCUGGAAAGAACUGAGGAGCAUGAGGACGAGAUCCUUCUACCUCAACAGGGAUCAAUUUUUUAACGAUUUCUUUCUGUCAGAAAACUGUUAAUAAAAUACUUUGUUCUAAAAUGACCAGGAUUUCAGCAGCCUCUACAUUCCUUCAUGUCAAUCAAAGCUUAGGCACGUGGGUUACUUCACUGUUCAUGACACCUUUUUCAAAUAAACCCCGGGGCCGCCUGUGUACCCAAGAGCCUGGGCACUGAGCAUUCAGAGAAAACGUCCAGGGCGAGAGUGUUCACGUCCCAGCGGUGCAGUAGAGCGCAUGGGGGGAGUUUAAGCCACAAGUGGCCACACCUCCCCUGCCUCUGGCCAGUGCCCACUGCUCACACACACACUCCUUCCUCAGCCCAUCCUGAGCCACGGGGCCCUCGCGUAACCAAAGUCACUGCAGCACCUCCAGGAACAAACUGGUUACAGGUGGACUGCUCUCUACGCAAGGUACGCUAGAUUAAGAAAACUGACUAAAAACAGUAGGAAGAAAAACUCACUCCACCCAUUGAGGCAAGAGAAAUGCACACAGCCUCUGAAAUCACUGCAGAGGAGUUUUCCUGGGUUAGGUACGCGGUGGGGUGACCCUACCCCAUAGCGGGGCAAUGGCACAUGGUGGGAACCAAGGAACAUCUCCGAAUAAAUGUAGGAAAAUGCACUCAACUCCCAAACAGAGAGAGAAACUGCUUUUUUCCUUAAAAGCUUCUGUCUUUUAUUCUCAGAAAGACUCUCUUUGG